rnacentral:rRNA from 1 species
AUAUAAAUAAGCGGAGGAAAAGAAACUAACCAGGAUUCCCCCAGUAACGGCGAGUGAACAGGGAAAAGCCCAGCGCUGAAUCGUGCAGCUUAACGGCCGUACGAAAUGUAGCGUUACUAUCACACUAGCCUUGACUGUCCGACCCGUGAGUCUCCCUGAGCGGAGCACUCUUCCAUAGAGGGUGCAAGGCCCGUAUCGGGUUGGACUGAUAGACAGGUGUGUGUGUAGAGUCGGGUUGCUUGGGAAUGCAGCUCAAAGGAGGUGGUAAAUUCCAUCUAAAGCUAAAUAUAGGUGCGAGACCGAUAGCGAACAAGUACCGUGAGG